UACAGAGGUCCCGGAGCGUUGUUCGGAUUCACUGGGGCGUAAAAGGGUGCGUAGGUGGUGGGGGAAAGUCGGAUGUGAAAUCUACGGAGCUCAACUCCGAAAUGGCAUUGGAAACUACCUGCUUGAGGUUUGGAGGGGGGAGCUGGAAUUCGUCGGUGUAGCAGUGAAAUGCGUAGAUAUCGAGAGGAACACCAGUGGCGAAGGCGAGUCCCUGGACAAAACCUGACACUGAGGCACGAAAGCUAGGGGAGCAAACAGG
rnacentral:rRNA from 1 species